rnacentral:rRNA from 1 species
AUUGAACGCUGGCGGCAGGCUUAACACAUGCAAGUCGAGCGGGGGAAGGUAGCUUGCUACCGGACCUAGCGGCGGACGGGUGAGUAAUGCUUAGGAAUCUGCCUAUUAGUGGGGGACAACUUCUCGAAAGGGAUGCUAAUACCGCAUACGUACUACGGGAGAAAGCAGGGGCUCUUCGGACCUUGCGCUAAUAGAUGAGCCUAGGUCGGAUUAGCUAGUUGGUGGGGUAAAGGCCUACCAAGGCGACGAUCUGUAGCGGGUCUGAGAGGAUGAUCCGCCACACUGGGACUGAGACACGGCCCAGACUCCUACGGGAGGCAGCAGUGGGGAAUAUUGGACAAUGGGGGGAACCCUGAUCCAGCCAUGCCGCGUGUGUGAAGAAGGCCUUAUGGUUGUAAAGCACUUUAAGCGAGGAGGAGGCUACUCUAGUUAAUACCUAGGGAUAGUGGACGUUACUCGCAGAAUAAGCACCGGCUAACUCUGUGCCAGCCGCCGCGGUAA